rnacentral:rRNA from 1 species
UACGGGGGGGGCAAGCGUUGUUCGGAAUUACUGGGCGUAAAGGGCUCGUAGGUGGCCAACUAAGUCGGACGUGAAAUCCCUCGGCUUAACCGGGGAACUGCAUCCGAUACUGGAUGGCUUGAGUUCGGGAGAGAGAUGCGGAAUUCCAGGUGUAGCGGUGAAAUGCGUAGAUAUCUGGAGGAACACCGGUGGCGAAGGCGGCAUCCUGGACCGACACUGACGCUGAGGAGCGAAAGCCAGGGGAGCAAACGGG